GAGAUAUCAUCAUUUUUCUUCAGCAAAAACACCAUGGGAGGUCUAAAAGCUGCUGGUUUUUCAUACUUUGACAUAUACCGUCAUAGCUGACAAAGAAAACCUCAUCUCGUUCGGGAAAGGCAUCAUGAAUGAAAAAACUUGGUUCAACUCUGUUGAAGUUGGCCUGCAUGCAGCACAUGAAGCAGCUAAAGAGCAGACAAUGCAGCCCGAGCCAUGAAGUUGCAGUUGAAGAUGAAGCUGCAGUUUUGUUUUGUUACUUCAAGCACUAGUUUAGUUACUUAGUUCAAAAUGAACUUAGUUGGUAUAAUUUUGAAGGAAUUAAGUGCUGAUGGAUUGAUAAAUCAGCAUAGCUUUGUGUGCAAGCAAUGUUUUAUAAGUUUCAAUGUAACUAGUAGUAGUAGGUGAUGAUUAGGUGAUGUUUGUCUCAUUUUGACCAGCAUAUGGACUGGUAUAUGUAAUGGCUUAGUGCAUUCAUUCGAAUGUUAAUGAAAUUUAUCAGAAUACAUUACAAAA